AGCAGAUCUCACUGACCAGGGUUUCUAAUUACUGGUGUUUUCCUGCAGACUGGUUUUCCCAGCUCCAGCAAGGACGUGUGGAGUGACAGUCCCUGUCCCAGGCACUGCAGCAUCCCACAGCUAAAGCAGGUGGGAGUGGAAGAGAGGAGGGAGUUUUGCCUGUCCCUCCAGAGCCCUGGGAGGGGAAGAAAGGCAGAAGAAGUUUCCCUGCUGAAGAAAAGAGGCUGCUUCCUCUCUCCCCUGAUGCACACACCAAGAG